GACGAACGCUGGCGGCGUGCUUAACACAUGCAAGUCGAACGGAAAGGCCCUGCUUUUGUGGGGUGCUCGAGUGGCGAACGGGUGAGUAACACGUGAGUAACCUGCCCUUGACUUUGGGAUAACUUCAGGAAACUGGUGCUAAUACCUGAUAGGAGCUCCUGCUGCAUGGUGGGGUUUGGAAAGUUUCGGCGGUGGGGGAUGGACUGGCGGCUUAUCAGCUUGUUGGUUGGGGACUGGCUUACCAAGGCUUUGAUGGGUAGCCGGCACGAGAGGGGGGCCGGCCACAUUGGGCCUGAGGGAGGGCGCAGUGUCCAACGGGGGACAGCGGGGGGAAGUCUUGCCCAAUGGGGGGGAGCCUGAUAAGGAAGCCCCCGGAGCGGAAAGCAGGCCUAGGGGUUGUAAACGGCAUUCACCUGUGACCAAGCUGGAGUGACGGUAACGGCAAAAGAAGCACCGGCUAACUACGUG
rnacentral:rRNA from 1 species